rnacentral:rRNA from 1 species
GACGAACGCUGGCGGCGUGCUUAACACAUGCAAGUCGAACGGAAAGGCCCUGCUUGCAGGGUACUCGAGUGGCGAACGGGUGAGUAACACGUGGGUGAUCUGCCCUGCACUUCGGGAUAAGCCUGGGAAACUGGGUCUAAUACCGGAUAGGAGCCAUUUUUAGUGUGAUGGUUGGAAAGUUUUUUCGGUGUAGGAUGAGCUCGCGGCCUAUCAGCUUGUUGGUGGGGUAAUGGCCUACCAAGGCGGCGGCGGGUAGCCGGCCUGAGAGGGUGGACGGCCACAUUGGGACUGAGAUACGGCCCAGACUCCUACGGGAGGCAGCAGUGGGGAAUAUUGCACAAUGGGCGCAAGCCUGAUGCAGCGACGCCGCGUGGGGGAUGACGGCCUUCGGGUUGGAAACUCCUUUCGCUAGGGACGAAGCUUUUUGUGACGGUACCUAGAUAAGAAGCACCGGCUAACUACGUG